rnacentral:rRNA from 1 species
GCCUGGCCCUAAACCUUAAAUUACUAACCCAUCGCCAAGGAACUACGAGCAAUGCUUAAAACCUAAAGGACUUGACGGUACCCCAUAUCCCCCUAGAGGAGCCUGUCCUAAAAUCGAUGAUCCCCGUUCAACCUCACCACUUCUGGCUUUUCAGCCUGUAUACCUCCGUCCCAGCUCACCAUAUGAAUGAACUAGUGAGUCCCAUCGUCAUAACCGAUACAUCAGGUCAAGGUGCAGCAAAUGAAGUGGGAAGAGAUGGGCUACACUCUCUAUUCUAGAGUAAACGAAAAGUCAAUAUGCAAUCUGACUGGAAGGUGGAUUUAGAAGUAAAAAGUAAACAGAGUGUUCUUUUUAACUCGGUAUUGGGGUAUGUACAUACCGCCCGUCACCCUCUUCAAAAACACAAAAGUAGUAAUUAACACGACCCUUAAAUAUAAAGAAGAGGCAAGUCGUAACAUGGUAAGCAUACUGGAAAGUGUGCUUGGAUA